UACAGAGGGUGCAAGCGUUAAUCGGAAUUACUGGGCGUAAAGCGUGCGUAGGCGGUUAUGUAAGUCAGGUGUGAAAGCCCCGGGCUCAACUUGGGAAUUGCAUUUGAGACUGCAUAGCUAGGGUGCGGAAGAGGGAAGCGGAAUUUACGGUGUAGCGGUGAAAUGCGUAGAUAUCGGAAGGAACAUCAGUUGCGAAAGCGGCUUCCUGGUCCAGCACCGACGUUCAGGCACGAAAGCGUGGGGAGCAAACAGG
rnacentral:rRNA from 1 species